GCCGCAGUAGCUCAGUUGGGAGAGCGCAAGACUGAAGAUCUUGAGGUCGCUGGUUCAAGUCCGGCCUGCGGCA
rnacentral:tRNA from 1 species